rnacentral:lncRNA from 1 species
CUCGAUGUUACUUUAUUCAAUCAACUUGAAUCGAUUUUAAAAGCGACGAGAGCCUCGGGAACCAAUGAACCUCGUACAGACCCCAACAACGAAAUCAGUCCAACUUCGGUAUAUUCCAACACUGUUUUUCGCCAAACCAACCGAUAAUUAUGCGAGAGAGGUGAAACCCCCGCCUAGCUUUACGAUUGCGUCAGCGAUUUUUUAUGAACUUUCUGACAAGACUCACUCCAUCGGAGCUACGCCGGAUGACAGGGGUUGACCGCUGACAUUUCUCGAUGAGAAUUUCUCCGGUAAAACCAGAGAUGACGGGGUUUCAGUAAUACUUGUACCCGAUCAAAAAUAACCAGUUCCGGCGAAGAGUUCACCGAAAAACUCAAACCCAGAUGGUACCCUACUGAUUUCCGUUCAUCUCUCCGAUUGGGUGUGGGUGUUUUGAUGGAGAAGAAAGAAAAAGAAGAAAAAGUAUUUUUCUCUGUUGGCCCGGAGAUAGGAAGAAAAAAUGAGGUCCUUUUCUUGGUUCAAGAUGAUGAUUCUCAUAUGUGUGUGUAUGACGAAGAGAAGGGAAAAAAUGGAGUGUUUUCUCGAUCUGUGUGUG